GCCAGGUACACGGAUUAUUUUAAGACCAGGAGGAGAAAAAAAAAAUAAAACUGGUAAAAGAAUGGUAAAAGAAAUAGAAUGGAAUCAACCAUCAAUGUCUUGGCAAGAUCCUCGGACUAAAAAAUGUGAAAUAAACGUCCAAAGAUUAUACAUUUACAAAGCUAGCUAAUCAAAUGCCAGACACAUUUGCUGACACGAAAAAGAAUGACUAAGUCAUAUAUAAACCAGCUUGUAAAGCACCAACGAAUUUGAUGUCCAAGAAGAGACACAGUCAAGUUGCUACAGAGUCUAGACAACAUAUGAAACGUGGUAGACCAAAUAGGUUCCAAAAGAUAAGAAUCCUUGGAAACAAAAGAAAGGUGCAGAGAAUGAUAAUCAAAAUCCAAAUCCG
rnacentral:lncRNA from 1 species